rnacentral:rRNA from 1 species
AUUGAACGCUGGCGGCAGGCCUAACACAUGCAAGUCGAGCGGAUGAAGGGAGCUUGCUCCUGGAUCCAGCGGCGGACGGGUGAGUAAUGCCUAGGAAUCUGCCUGGUAGUGGGGGAUAACGUCCGGAAACGGGCGCUAAUACCGCAUACGUCCUGAGGGAGAAAGUGGGGGAUCUUCGGACCUCACGCUAUCAGAUGAGCCUAGGUCGGAUUAGCUAGUUGGUGGGGUAAAGGCCUACCAAGGCGACGAUCCGUAUCUGGUCUGAGAGGAUGAUCAGUCACACUGGAACUGAGACACGGUCCAGACUCCUACGGGAGGCAGCAGUGGGGAAUAUUGGACAAUGGGCGAAAGCCUGAUCCAGCCAUGCCGCGUGUGUGAAGAAGGUCUUCGGAUUGUAAAGCACUUUAAGUUGGGAGGAAGGGCAGUAAGUUAAUACCUUGCUGUUUUGACGUUACCAACAGAAUAGGCACCGGCUAACUUCGUG